GAAUGCAAGAGCCAUUCUCACUGGGAUGCCACAGCUCUGGAGACUUCUUAUAGAUGUUGUUUGGAACACUCCAGGCUUGGAGAUGGGCCUUUAGACACUGCCUGUAGUACUGCUUAGCAACAGCUCUACAGACAUAAAGAGAUUGCAGUGGCUGCUCCUUCCUGGCUCCACCAUUCAGCAAGAGCUCCACAGAGGAUGAAGAGAUCCUCCUAGCUUGGCGGAAUACUCUGCUCUGAUGGAAGUACCAUCCUGGUCCAAACAUGAAAGAAUUCCCAACAUCAAGAUUGAUUGAAACAUAUUCAAUGGUGUAACUGGAUCUUGGUUCAUGCUGAGCUUAAAAUUUGAUCUUCUGAAUAUCAGCAGAAAGACUCUUUCUGGUGAAUACAGAUCUUCUGAGCAAUUAUCGACUGACUUUGUCAUUAGACUGCCCUUUCAGAAGGUACAAAAAAAGAAAAAGAAAAUUACUACUGUGAAGUGAAGUCUGAGCAACUGGGAAGAAAUGCAAGGUGAAAUGAAAUGGUGAAGUUGUCAGUGACAUGAAUCUUUGCUCCCUUCUUCAUGGAAUAUUUCUGAUCUAAUAGCCCCUAUAUUUCAAAAGAUGGAUAUAAACAUCAGAUGAAUAUCACAGGAAAGCUGGAUUGCUCUGCAGUGAGUGAAACGUGGAAAGGCCUUUCCCCACCAAGCAGUAGGCCAAAUUGUAACAGUAAGAUGUAUUUGAAAUAAAAUGGUUCAUAGAUCA
rnacentral:lncRNA from 1 species